GACGAACGCUGGCGGCGUGCUUAACACAUGCAAGUCGAACGGAAAGGCCCUGCUUUUGUGGGGUGCUCGAGUGGCGAACGGGUGAGUAACACGUGAGUAACCUGCCCUUGACUUUGGGAUAACUUCAGGAAACUGGGGCUAAUACCGGCUAGGAGCUCCUGCUGCAUGGUGGGGGUUGGAAAGUUUCGGCGGUUGGGGAUGGACUCGCGGCUUAUCAGCUUGUUGGUGGGGUAGUGGCUUACCAAGGCUUUGACGGGUAGCCGGCCUGGGAGGGUGACCGGCCACAUUGGGACUGAGAUACGGCCCAGACUCCUACGGGAGGCAGCAGUGGGGAAUAUUGCACAAUGGGCGGAAGCCUGAUGCAGCAACGCCGCGUGCGGGAUGACGGCCUUCGGGUUGUAAACCGCUUUCGCCUGUGACGAAGCGUGAGUGACGGUAAUGGGUAAAGAAGCACCGGCUAACUACGUG
rnacentral:rRNA from 1 species